rnacentral:rRNA from 1 species
CCUACGGGUGGCAGCAGUAGGGAAUAUUGCUCAAUGGGGGAAACCCUGAAGCAGCAACGCCGCGUGGAGGAUGAAGGUUUUCGGAUUGUAAACUCCUUUUUUUAGAGAAAAUAAUUACGGUAUCUAACGAAUAAUCACCGGCUAACUCCGUUCCAGCAGCCGCUGUCCUACGGAGGGUGCAAGCGUUACUCGGAAUCACUGAGCGUAACGAGCGCGUAGGCGGGAUAGCAAGUCAGAUGUGAAAUCCUAUGGCUUAACCAUAGAACUGCAUUUGAAACUGUUAUUCUAGAGUACGGGAGAGGUAGGCGGAAUUCUUGGUGUAGGGGUAAAAUCCGUAGAGAUCAAGAGGAAUACUCAUUGCGAAGGCGACCUGCUAGAACAUAACUGACGCUGAUGCGCGAAAGCGUGGGGAGCAAACAGGAUUAGAUACCCUUGUAGUC